AAGAGCAAGCAAACUUAACCAACUAAGCUAUAAUGGCGUUUAUACUAAAAGUGCUGCAAAAAAUUAAGUUAUACUUUCGUUUUUUUUAAAUACGCCACAAAAAGCCAUUAUUUUACCAAAAAAAAAAAAAAAAAAGGGAAAUCAAAAUACCGCUCACUCUUACCCGCUCGUUACUCCCUCUUUUUCUCGAUCUGGAAUAAAAGAAAAAAAGAAACUGAAAAAGGCACAAAGGGUUUUUGGAAGCAAAGCAGAGCGAAGAACUGUGUGAAGCCAGAGCUAUCGAGCAUGUUCGAGUCUUAGCACAUGAAAUCAAUGGUCGUCAAGAAAAGGCUACUGAACAAGAUGCUGUUGAAAUCUUGAUGUAUGAGAGUUUACAUUUUGCAUACGGCUUGCUUGAGGUGUUGAUCUUUGUGACUUCUAUCACCAUAUGGAAUAAAGGCAUCAUUAGCCAAAUAAUUCUUUCGUUCCCUAUAGCAGUUUUUACUGGGAGAAAUAUGUUUGCUGAAAUGAGUAAACAAGGCAUUAGUGAUAAUAAGAUAUAUCAUUAUCACUUAAAUCUUGGAGGAAGUGUUUCUACCAGAAGGCUGACUAGGCUACCUUCAAUUCCUAAGAAUGA